rnacentral:rRNA from 1 species
UACGGCAUUGUGGUGUUUGGGUCGGCUCGUGGGAUUGCCGCUCCACUCGAAGUCCAGCAUUGAGUAUGGUUUCUGGAUUUGGCCCAUAGAGGGUGAAAGGCCCGUGCGGGUGGAGUUUCAGACAUGAUUGGCAAUUCACCAGGCCGGCCUUAGAGUCGGGUUGUUUGGGAAUGCAGCCCAAAGUGGGUGGUAAACUCCAUCCAAGGCUAAAUACUAGCACGAGUCCGAUAGCGAACAAGUACCGUGAGGGAAAGUUGAAAAGUACUUUGAAGAGAGAGUAAACAGUACGUGAAACCGCAUGAAGGUAAACGGGUGGCGUCAAGCUGCAAGCCCAGAGGAUUCAGUCGGUCAGGAUGUUGUGUAUGUGCCUAGCGCAUCUAUCAGUCGAUUAUAGUUGAAUAGUCUGUUUGGUUAAAACAGGCCUGGUCGCAAGGCUAGGAUUUGCAGUCCGUUUGGUUGGCGGAGCAAGCUAUUCGAUUGUGGACUGUCUGGCCGAUGCACUUUCUCUGUGGUGAACACCACGACCGGUGGUACUGUCGGUCUGCUUUGGUCAAGUCCUUGUUAAUUGGCACUUGUUGUUAGUUAGCCUGGAUCACAUGCAAUUUCAGUGCACGGUGUUCAGAUGCUUCGGUAUUUGAGCAUGUUAUCGGAUGCUGGUUGUAAACGGAUUGUGUUGUAAGGUUGUAAAACUUGCAAUAUAGUCUGGUGGACCUUAGUGGUAAGAAUAACCGUACAGCGCACUGGUGUUAUCGGUCUCUAAAUCUAAUUGAUGCCCACAUUACAAGUGGUUAAUGCCGGUGUUGUCCUAAUUUGCCUAUGCUUCGAUCUGAUUGUCGUGUCGCCUGCACAAAGU